rnacentral:rRNA from 1 species
UACGUAGGGUGCAAGCGUUAAUCGGAAUUACUGGGCGUAAAGCGUGCGCAGGCGGUUAUGCAAGACAGAUGUGAAAUCCCCGGGCUCAACCUGGGAACUGCAUUUGUGACUGCAUGGCUAGAGUACGGCAGAGGGGGAUGGAAUUCCACGUGUAGCAGUGAAAUGCGUAGAUAUGUGGAGGAACACCGAUGGCGAAGGCAAUCCCCUGGGCCUGUACUGACGCUCAUGCACGAAAGCGUGGGGAGCAAACAGG